rnacentral:rRNA from 1 species
UACGUAGGGUGCGAGCGUUAAUCGGAAUUACUGGGCGUAAAGCGUGCGCAGGCGGUUUUGUAAGUCAGAUGUGAAAUCCCCGGGCUUAACCUGGGAACUGCGUUUGAAACUACAAGGCUAGAGUGUGGCAGAGGGGGGUGGAAUUCCACGUGUAGCAGUGAAAUGCGUAGAGAUGUGGAGGAAUACCGAUGGCGAAGGCAGCCCCCUGGGAUAACACUGACGCUCAUGCACGAAAGCGUGGGGAGCAAACAGG